rnacentral:lncRNA from 1 species
CAGAGUCAGAGGUAAAGAGACAGUGAUGAGAAGACUGGGGGAGAAGAGAAAGCAGAGCGUGUAGGAAAGAAGAAACUGCGUUGGAGUUUAACCAUUCACUCCUCAGCCAAAUCCCCACAACUACAUACAUAAUUACUGCAUCCAGAAGGCUCUGGGUUCUACAUCCAGCA